rnacentral:pre_miRNA from 9 species
UCUCGAUAAUGUAAAAGUUAACUCUUAUUUGUAUGGAGUUGGAACGUUUGCUUACGUUUACCACUAGGGGCGCUGUUCCAACUGCAUACAAAUCUGAAUUAACUUUUACGCUAUCGA